AGUACUGUUAUUCCGCCCCUGAUUGCACAUUGAAACGCUUGCAGUGCGCAGAAUUUCCACGGCAAGUGUCGUGGCAGACGUCUGCUGCAUCAGUUGUUAAAUAGGUUUUUAUGGAUUCGAUACUGAAACAAUAAAAAAUGUCUAGAAAGCGUGUUAGAGAAGAAACUAUGCUGAAUUCUACACCAUAUUCAGAUAUUCAAAAUGGGGAAAAUGCAUCCUGUUCUAAAGAAGAUUCUCCAAUUUAUCCUCUGGUGACAAUGACUUGGGGGACCAACAGGAAUUCGAAUAAUGAUUCAAGUCAAAUUUCACUAAAAAAACAUAAUAGUGAAAUUUCAAAUUACCACAAAGAACUUCCAUCAAUCUGUAAAGAAGCUCCUUUUAGUGAUGAUCCUGAAGCACUUGCGGAAAGAAAUGCAUGUGAUUAUAAUAUAUGUAUUACAUUAAAAAUGGCAAAAAAUGGCAAAGCACCAAGAAAAAUCAGAGUAUACGCAGAUGGUAUCUAUGACCUGUUUCAUCAAGGACAUGCAAGACAACUUUUACAAGCAAAGAAUAUUUUCCCUAAUGUAUACCUUAUUGUAGGAGUUUGUAACGAUGAAUUAACACAUAGUAAGAAAGGCAGAACAGUCAUGACAGAUAUUGAAAGAUACGAUGCUGUAAGGCAUUGUCGUUAUGUAGAUGAAGUAGUUAGAGAUGCUCCUUGGGAAUUGGAUGAUGAGUUUCUUACAAAACAUAAAAUUGACUUCGUUGCUCAUGAUGAUAUACCCUAUAUGACAGAUGAUAGCACAGAUGUUUAUGCAGCAUUAAAAGCUAAAGGCAUGUUUGUAGCUACACAAAGGACUGAAGGAGUAUCAACGUCAGAUAUUGUAGCAAGAAUAGUUAAAGAUUAUGAUAUAUAUGUAAGAAGGAAUCUUGCACGAGGUUAUAGUGCCAAAGAGCUUAAUGUUUCUUUCCUCAGUGAAAAGAAAUUCCGUUUACAAAAUAAAUUCGAUGAUCUGAAAGAUAAGGGUAAACGUGUCAUGGAGAACAUUGGUGAAAAACGUAUGGAUAUAAUAAGCAAAUGGGAAGAAAAGUCUCGAGAUUUUAUAGAUGCUUUCCUAUUACUAUUUGGCAGAGAAGGUAGAUUGUCGACAAUUUGGAAUGAAAGUAAAGGCCGUUUAAUGCAAGCACUAUCUCCACCAGCAAGUCCCAAAAGAGAUGGCAGUCCAAAUGGCAGUAAUAGCAGCAAUAAUGAUGAAGAUCAGACAAGGUACAUCACAGCAUUUGAGUCCAUUGACUAACAUGCAACACCACUUCAUUCUGUACUGCUUCUAUAUGAAAACCUUCAAUACUUCACACCACCCAUUUGCAGCAUGUUGUUCCGCCACCGAAAAAGACUGGUCGUUACGAAUGUUCACGGAGUAAUUACUAUUUGAGUGAUGACUACAGCGACGAUGAAGAGGAAAAUUUAC
rnacentral:misc_RNA from 1 species